rnacentral:rRNA from 1 species
UACGGGGGGGUAAGCGUUGUUCGGAAUUACUGGGCGUAAAGGGCUCGUAGGCGGCCAACUAAGUCAGACGUGAAAUCCCUCAGCUUAACUGGGGAACUGCGUCUGAUACUGGAUGGCUUGGAUCCGGGAGAGGGAUGCGGAAUUCCAGGUGUAGCGGUGAAAUGCGUAGAGAUCGGGAGGAACACCCGUAGCGAAGGCGGCCGACUGGACCACACCUGACGCUGAGGCGCGAAGGCCAGGGGAGCGAACGGG